GAAAAUGAAUGUAAUCAUUGUUUGAAAUUGUAGUCGUAAAGGAUUAAUCAUUCUGAAGAGAAUUUUUUUUCGAUAAUUUAAAAAAAGAAACCCCUUAAGUACAGAAAUUUAAACUAUCGAGAAAUUAAUAAAAACUUCUCAUUUUCCAAAAGUUUUUUUUUCCUUCUUGGUGGAAGUAAAGGAAGGUUCAACACAUAACACUGAAUAUACUCAUAUACUCACCAAGAUUGAAGGGAAGAGGGUUUCUGCUCUAAACAAAUUAUUCCAAAGAUGCGAUUAGCUGCAUAAAUAAGACGCACAUAUGAGAUUUUUUCACAAAUCGAUGGAUCUACUAAUAGAAUACAAGAAAAUACAAAAAAAGUUGUUUUACAAUUUUUGUCAUUUAAGUGAUUUCUGAAAUAAACGAUUCAGUUGAAGA